rnacentral:misc_RNA from 1 species
AACACUGUUAACCUGCGGUACCUGCGGAGGGAUCAUUACAGAGUUGCAAAACUCCCUAAACCAUUGUGAACGUUACCUAAACCGUUGCUUCGGCGGGCGGCCCGGGUCCUUCCCGGCGCCCCUCGGCCCUCGCGGGCGCCCGCCGGAGGUAAACCAAACUAUUGCAUUGUAUGGCCUCUCUGAGUCUUCUGUACUGAAUAAGUCAAAACUUUUAGCAAUGGAUCUCAGAUCGGAAGAGCA